GCCAAGAUCGCACCACUGCACUCCAGUCUGGACAACAAAGCGAGAAGCCAUCUCAAAAAAAAAAAAGAAAAGAAAAGAAAAAAGUGGUUAUGCUUCAGCUUUAAAUACUUAAGAACCAAAUCUUAUGAUCCGAAUGUGCAGGUUAUUUGAACUCCUCUAAUUUGGAAUUCGUGGCAUU